CUACGGGUGGCUCCAGUGGGGAAUAUUGGACAAUGGACCAAAAGUCUGAUCCAGCAAUUCUGUGUGCACGAUGACGGUUUUCGGAUUGUAAAGUGCUUUCAACAGGGAAGAAGUUCUGACGGUACCUGUAGAAGAAGCGACGGCUAAAUACGUGCCAGCAGCCGCGGUAAUACGUAUGUCGCAAGCGUUAUCCGGAUUUAUUGGGCAUAAAGGGCAUCUAGGCGGCGUAGUAAGUCUGAUGUGAAAAUGCGGGGCUCAACUCCGUAUUGCGUUGGAAACUACUAAGCUAGAGUAUUGGAGAGGUAGGCGGAACUACAUGUGUAGAGGUGAAAUUCGUAGAUAUAUGUAGGAAUGCCGAUGACGAAGGUAGCUUACUGGACAAUUACUGACGCUGAAGUGCGAAAGCUAGGGGAGCAAACAGGAUUAGAUACCCUAGUAGUC
rnacentral:rRNA from 1 species